CCUACGGGAGGCAGCAGUGGGGAAUAUUGCACAAUGGGGGAAACCCUGAUGCAGCGACGCCGCGUGAAGGAAGAAGUAUUUCGGUAUGUAAACUUCUAUCAGCAGGGAAGAAAAUGACGGUACCUGACUAAGAAGCCCCGGAUAACUACGUGCCAGCAGCCGCGGGAAUACGUAGGGGGCAAGCGUUAUCCGGAUGUACUGGGUGUAAAGGGAGCGUAGGCGGCGAUGCAAGUCAGAAGUGAAAGCCCGGGGCUCAACUCCGGGACUGCUUUUGAAACUGUGUUGCUGGAUUGCAGGAGAGGUAAGUGGAAUUCCUAGUGUAGCGGUGAAAUGCGUAGAUAUUAGGAGGAACACCAGUGGCGAAGGCGGCUUACUGGACUGUAAAUGACGCUGAGGCUCGAAAGCGUGGGGAGCAAACAGGAUUAGAUACCCUUGUAGUC
rnacentral:rRNA from 1 species